rnacentral:misc_RNA from 1 species
GAUGAAGAACGUAGCGAAAUGCGAUAAGUAAUGUGAAUUGCAGAAUUCAGUGAAUCAUCGAAUCUUUGAACGCACAUUGCGCCCGGCAGUAAUCUGCCGGGCAUGCCUGUCCGAGCGUCAUUUCACCCCUCGAGCCGCUUUUAGUGGAUCGGUGUUGAGGCACUACGGUAAAACGUAGGCCCUGAAAUGAAGUGGCGGUCCCGCCGCGGUGCCCCCAUGCGUAGUAACGUUUAGUCUCGCAUCGGGUCCCGGCGGAGGCCUGCCGUCAAGCCUAUUUAUUCUCAGAAUAGUUUGACCUCGGAUCAGGUAGGGUUACCCGCUGAACUUAAGCAUAUCAAUAAGCGGAGGA